rnacentral:rRNA from 1 species
UUACGUUGUUAUCCCUAAGGUAAUUUAAUCUUAUAAUCAAAAUAAAUGGAUCAAAAAUAUAUACAUAAAUAUAUAAAAACAAAGAGGAGUUAAAUAAUAUUCCUCCCAUCACCCCAACAAAACAAUUCACUCCCACUCAAUGUAAAUAAAUACAAACAACGGAUAAAUAGGAAAAUUGUCAAACUCUAUAGGGUCUUCUCGUCCCAUAAAAACAUUUAAGAAUUUUAACUCAAAAACCAAAUUCAAUAAACCAAUACCUCUAAGACAGCUUAUGUCUCGUCAAGCCAUUCAUACCAGAUCACAAUUAAAGAACUAAUGAUUAUGCUACCUUUGCACGGUCAAAAUACCGCGGCCCUUCAACUCUAAGUCAGUGGGCAGGCCAUACUUCAAAAACUAACAAGAAAAGAUGUUUUUGAUAAACAGGCG